ACGAACGCUGGCGGCGUGCUUAACCCAUGCAAGUCGAACGGAAAGGCCCCUUUGGGGGUACUCGAGUGGCGAACGGGUGAGUAACACGUGAGUAACCUGCCCUUGACUUCGGGAUAACUUCAGGAAACUGGGGCUAAUACCGGAUAGGAAUCCUUGCUGCAUGGUGGGGGUUGGAAAGCUUCGGCGGUUUUGGAUGGACUCGCGGCUUAUCAGCUUGUUGGUGGGGUAGUGGCUUACCAAGGCUUUGACGGGUAGCCGGCCUGAGAGGGCGACCGGCCACAUUGGGACUGAGAUACGGCCCAGACUCCUACGGGAGGCAGCAGUGGGGAAUAUUGCACAAUGGGCGGAAGCCUGAUGCAGCAACGCCGCGUGCGGGAUGACGGCCUUCGGGUUGUAAACCGCUUUCAGCAGGGGCGAAGCUUGUGGUGACGGUACCUGCAGAAGAAGCACCGGCUAACUACGU
rnacentral:rRNA from 1 species